rnacentral:tRNA from 1 species
GGGGCUAUAGCUCAGUGGUAGAGUGCUUGCCUUGCAUGUGUGAAGCCCUGGGUUCUAUCCCCAGCACCA